ensembl:processed_transcript Gas5 growth arrest specific 5
CUUUCGGAGCUGUGCGGCACUCUGAGCAGGAAUGGCAGUGUGGACCUCUGUGAUGGGACAUCUUGUGGGAUCUCACAGCCAGUUCUGUGGCAAAGGAGGAUGAAGGCUUACGAGGACUCGUCAGGAAGCUGGAUAACAGAGCGAGCGCAAUGUAAGCAAUUUUGUGUGUGCAUGUGGUCCCAUUACAAGGAAUACCCAAUGGCAAAUGAGCACUAAAGAUCCCUCAACCCACACAUUGAAUGUAUUGUUCCCUGAGAACAAUUGUAGAUAGAGGAGUGGGUGGGAGAUCUGAAGUCAGGGCAUUGUUUCUGCGUAUCUGAGGAGGCUGGUUUUUGAUAUGUGGGAGCUAGUGGUCGUUAACGCAUUUACCCCCUAUUUGGUGGACUCUGGUUCCCCCAUCUUAAGUGCUGAGUCAGGGGCCUAACCGGGCAGCUUUAACUAUUUGUUUGUUGUAGGUGCUAGAAUAGAAGACCAGAAAAUGAAAUGGUGGAGUUUGAGGCUGGAUAGACAGUUUGAAAGGUAAGUAUUGAAAAACUUGAAUUUGGGUCAGUACAAAGGGACAUGCAGAGACUUUGAAUCAUCAAAACUCCAGCAUGCAUUGUCUUACGGAUGUUUAGAUGUGUUUUGGACAACACUCUGGGUUCUUGUAAUGAUGUUGAUCAAAUGUCUGAGCUGAAAAUAACUUGUAGACAAUUUUUAACACUGAAGAACCCUGUG